UUAGUAUUAUUUUUUCUCGCCAGAUCUGUUGCCAUUUUGGGGAUCUUUGCUGGAUUUUUUAUUUUUUCAUUUUUUAAAUUUUUUUGAGGGGGUGGGGGGCAUCUCUUAGGGGCAGACGGCCACAUCUCUCGCUCUGCCUCCUGGUCAGGUUAGAGGAUGAUUUCUCUUUUUGUUACUGUUUUUGGAGAGAGCUUCUGGUACAAUAUGUAGCACUAUAGGCUGUAAUUUCACACCCGGCUGCACAUUUCCCUUAAAGCUACAUUCUUUUUUCCCCUCCUUCUCCCCCUCCUAUAAGACCCCCACCAUCACCAUCGUCGCCCCCCUCCCUCAGUUUUCUCCCCCCUCUCUCCCGCACAUGCCCUCCUGCUCCCCACAAUUUGAUCUCUCCACUGCAAAAAUUAAGCAGGAGGAAGGAGGCCAAAUGCUGACAUUAUUUUUUGAACACAUAUCCAAAUGAAUACACCGUUUUUCGUGUGUUUACUUUGUUUGAACAGCACGUGUGGUGCGUUCGCGGGGCCCUUUAACCUCUUUUUUUAGGGGCAGGGGGCGCUCCAUUCCGCAGCUCCAACACUGGGGUCAGAGAGCGCCUAAAAUAAAAGGUCAUUCGGGGGAAUUUAAACAAUAGGACACGUGAAUUAAUCAUUGCGUCGUUGUUUUUGAAGUUGCAAUAAUCAAAUCUUAAUAUUUCUGAUCUAAAAAUCCCUGAAAUAAGACGAAUUAAACCCAAGACGCGUCUCCACUCUGACGCACAGCUGCAGCGUUUAAGACGAUGCCACACUGCAUGUCAAGAGUUUGGAAAAUGUUUUUGGAGCCUGCGUGCACCCAUUAGGAGAGGUGUAAUGUAUUGACAGAGAGCAAUUUAUCUUUUGCCCCGCUUCCUAAUGGCCUGUGCAGAGAGGAGAGAGGAGGCAUGGAGGAGGAGAGGAGGAAGGAGGAGGAAAGGAAAAGAAGCGCCGGUGGGUCCAAGCAUCCGCACGCCGAACAUGAGCUCACACUUUCCGGGUAACUGUGGUGGAGGAUGAUCGAGGAGUGGUGGUAAAGAACUUCGCUUUCGUCUGUCAUAUCAGUUUCACCCCGCCUUUUUUCCUCUUCCUCCUCCUGUGCAGGCUGCUGGUUAACCAAUCGAUCUCCCCAAUCGAGGGCAGUUGACACCACUGGUUUGAGGAGAUUUGACGUGUUCAGCUGCAGCCUCCCCACAUUUCUCCACCUACAUGUGAUACAGUAAGUCGUGCAACAACAACAACAAAUAAAAGCUCUCCACGCUGUACUGUAUAUUGAAUUUCCUCGCACCGUGUCCUGUGCUCCAGCAAGCCAGGCUACUACACUCCGGGGCUACAAAUCUUGCUGGCGUGAACAGAUGGAGCAUCAGUUUGAUUCCAUCCUCGACACCGUGAAAGAUUGAUUUUGCGCUCGCUUUUAAUUUUGCCCAUAAUUAAUUGGAUCAUUACAACUGUUUUCCAUUGAUCCCCCCCUCUCUUCAGUUUAAAACGUAAAAUUACAAUGUGAUCUAUGUUUCUGUUCGCUGCUUUUAUUUGUGUGUAUUUAUUUAUUUGGUCUGCUGAAGAAGAUCCUACUGCAAAAAUCAUAUUUUUUCUACAUAAUUAAAUAUAUAUAAUUGUAUAUUAGUGUAUUUUACGCUGGUUUUGAAGCAGGGAAAUGCAGUUAAACCGAACGUGAACGGUGGGUUAAUAUAUGAGAAUAUAAAGCCAUUAUCAGCUCAGAAUGUGGCCUAUUGAUUUCAACACACACACACACACACACACACACACACAGACACACACACACACACACACACACACACACACACACACACACACACACACACACACACACACACACACCUCUUAACGAAAGAUCCUUAUAUUUCCUAACAGCCACCUUAUAUUUUUGCAUAUGUGCAUCUCCUUUAAUGUCCAUGUAAUGCAGAGUUUUAUCCAAUCAUAUUAACAAUGUAUUGAAAUAUAUUGAAAAUAUGUCAAUAAACUAUUAUAACUAGGACUAAACUAUUGAUAAACGAAUGUUAAAUUAAUAAAUCCACAUUGUGCACAACUGAAAUGACAUUUUUGUUGCUUUAAACGCUCCUCACUGCAUUUUCUGUUGUGCGUAAUUUGGUUACUUUGCCUCACAAUAGGAAUAAUAUGCAAUAAAUGAAAGAUACUAAGCUUCUUUUACCUUGAUUUCAGGCAUGUCAGGAGUGUAAAUGAGCAGAAUACCGUUUAUCCAAUCAGGAUUAAGGAUGAAAUUAGUGGCUAAAAGUCUGUUUAGGGGAUAAAAAUAUCGCCAUUUUUGAGAUAAUUUUUUUAAUGUCUUGACUGUCGAAUUGGCAAUUAGAAGCCGCCAUAUUUCACAGAUUUGCGUUUGUGCUUAAAGUAAACGUGUCACUUCGGUGCAGCCAAUUUAACCGUUUGCUGUCUUUGAUGGCAAAUCAUGAAAAAUUAAGAAUAGGCGUAAAAGUCAAUGCCAAACUUUACAGCAGCCAGAGAGGUCGUAUUUCAGAUGAUAAAACCCACACAAGAAGAACUUUCUGCUGCUCUGAGCCUCUUCACUGCAAAAGUCCACAUGGCGAGGUGUGUAAACUUAUCAAAGCUGCAUCUUUUCUUUUUCUUUUUAAUUCCUUUUGGUGUUACCUCCAAUUAAACUCCUCUGAUAUCUACAGUGUUUUCAGGUUGGCUGUUCAGCUGAUGAUCCCAUCAUUAGUCCUCAACAACCAAAACCCCCCCUCCAACACACACACACACACACACACACACACACACACACACACACACACACA